CCUUUAUCUGUAGCUCGAUUGGAUAGAUGCGUUCCACAUAGUCACCAAAAUGGCAAUAUGAAAAUCUCAAACACUCAAAACGAAUUGGAAACAACGGUCAAGUUUUACAUGCAUUUUUAAUUAAAAUUAUGUAGAAAAUAUGAUAUAAGUUUCAUUUUCAGUGCUAUUGAUACAUUUGCAAUUUUGCAAAUAGGCAACAAAGUUGACGAGAAGGAAGGAAGAAGAAAAAGAAAACUGCUUCUUAACAUACUCAUAGAUAACAGGAUUGAAAUUUUGUAUUUCGCCAGACGCGCGUAUCGUCUACACAAGACUUAUCAGAAAAAAAAUGAGACUCGAGGAAAAUUCAAAAUGGAAAGUCCCUAAUAAAAUGGCAAAAUUAAAAGCUCAAACACAUGAAACAAAUGGAAUACCACUGUACAGUCAUAUUCUUGACUUGGUACAGGCAUUCUGUUUUGUACAAAAUGGAUUAAACCUAGUUUU
rnacentral:lncRNA from 1 species